GGCUCAAUGGUCUAGUGGUAUGAUUCGUGCUUCGGGUGGUUUUUCGAAAUUCCCUUACUUGGUGACAAGUGAAGCAAUGUGCGAGGUCUCGGGUUCGAAUCCCGAUUGAGCCC